rnacentral:lncRNA from 1 species
CAUUAACAAUACAUUUGGCUCUCUAUUGCAAUAACAUUGUGUAUAUGCGCAAAUUGUCAUGCUAACAUGGGUUGCCUUUAUGCUAUGCAGGUGAUUGAGGGACUAUUCCACCAGUCAUGUAAUGAGUUCAAAAUGACAAAUUCCAUCUACAUUUUGAACCAUUAUACAGCUGGUGUUAUACUUUUUGGUGACCGGACAGAGUUGAGCCGUCAACGUCUUUCAAAGGUAUCAUCUGUAUUACAUAGAACACUCAGAAGCUGUGUCUGACAUCAAUCAGAGACCAUAUUAAGAUGUGACCAAUUAUUUGUCCUUGAAAAUAAAAGUGCAUGAUGGGGAAAACUGCUUAAACAAAAAACAAUACUUUUUUACAGGUGAACUUUGAUAACUACAAGGCUGCCAUUUCCUUUGUGAACAUACAAGGAAAUCACUGGAAACUGCUGGUAAGCCACUGUCACAAUGUUAUGGUCUAACCAGCAAUGUUGCAUAGUAAUUUGCAUUCGAUCAUAUACAUUGCAGUACAUUGUCCCAGUCAUCAGUUCGGUUUUUUUGGUGGACCCUGCUCACAAUCCAGCUGAAGCUCAGGAAUCUGAAGAAGCUGCCAAAAAAAUGCAGGAGUACUUCAAAAUGAGGAUGACCUUUGGCAUGCAUGAUUGGAGCAAAACUAAAUGGAAGGGAGCAACCAUGCCACAUCAUGUGCAGCAAGACGGUGACAGUUGUGGGGUAGUUGUGGUGUUGAUUGCCAGGGAACUCAUGAAGUGUUUUCCUGUCCUGCCAAAAAUUACAUUUGGGACAUCUCGCACGGAAAUGGCAGCCGUUAGACAAGAGCUGGCACAAAUGCUUCUCUCUGAUUCUGUGUUUGAUUCCGAUAGCAACUGCGCAAUCUGUUCCAAUUCCACGCCUCCAGGUUCCAGUGCUUUACUUACGGAUUGGAUACAAUGUGAUAUAUGUGGCCGUUGGUAUCACAGCCAGUGUCUGGACAUGGACCAGGCUUCAUUUCAGGAGGCUGGGACCAAGGAGUGGCUAUGCAUUAUGUGCAUGUGAUCUGGUAAGAGCAGCCUCAUUGAAACAUGGCAUCUCUGCGGUAAGUUCUUACACCAAUGGAGUUGAAGUGAAUUCUUUCUGCUUACUUCCUAGAAUGAUAAACUGUACAGGGGAAGCCAUCAAAGAUUCCAACUCCUAAUAUAAGGUUGUAUAAUUUCAUAACAGAUGUUAUGUAAACAUGUACUUGUUAAUGAUGUACAAUAUCAAAACCGACAGUACACAAUUAUUUAUAUAGGCUGUGACUAUGCGCGCAUGUGUACAUACUGCACUGUUGUUGCAUACAUUUGGUCGGCACAUUUAAUAUACACACUGAGGGGUAUGGUCGGUUGUUAAGUACAAAACAAAACCCACUUGGUCUCUGUUAUCACUCAUGUACGUACUAGUGAAGGUGGAGGCACCACAGUCAUGCUCUCACUGUACUUGGGGAGGGG